rnacentral:rRNA from 1 species
GAACUGAAGAGUUUGAUCAUGGCUCAGAUUGAACGCUGGCGGCAGGCCUAACACAUGCAAGUCGAGCGGUAGAGAGAAGCUUGCUUCUCUUGAGAGCGGCGGACGGGUGAGUAAUGCCUAGGAAUCUGCCUGGUAGUGGGGGAUAACGUUCGGAAACGGACGCUAAUACCGCAUACGUCCUACGGGAGAAAGCAGGGGACCUUCGGGCCUUGCGCUAUCAGAUGAGYYUAGGUMGGAUUAGAUAGUUGGUGGGGUAAUGGGUGAAGAAGGUGAAGAUUCGUAAUUGGUAUGAGAGGAUGAUUAGUGAUACUGGGAGUGAGAGAUGGUCUGGAAUGUUAAGGGAG